CUCGCAAGAGCAAAGCAGGGGACCUUCGGGCCUUGCGCUACCGGAUAUGCCCAGGUGGGAUUAGCUAGUUGGUGAGGUAAGGGCUCACCAAGGCGACGAUCCCUAGCUGGUCUGAGAGGAUGAUCAGCCACACUGGAACUGAGACACGGUCCAGACUCCUACGGGAGGCAGCGAGUGGGGAAUAUUGCGACAAUGGGCGCAAGCCUGAUGCAGCCAUGCCGCGUGUAUGAAGAAGGCCUUCGG
rnacentral:rRNA from 1 species